UACGUAGGGUGCAAGCGUUGUCCGGAAUUAUUGGGCGUAAAGAGCUCGUAGGCGGUCUGUUGCGUCGGCUGUGAAAACCCGGGGCUCAACCCCGGGCCUGCAGCCGAUACGGGCAGACUAGAGUUCGGCAGGGGAGACUGGAAUUCCUGGUGUAGCGGUGAAAUGCGCAGAUAUCAGGAGGAACACCGGUGGCGAAGGCGGGUCUCUGGGCCGAUACUGACGCUGAGAAGCGAAAGCGUGGGGAGCGAACAGG
rnacentral:rRNA from 1 species